rnacentral:rRNA from 1 species
AGCGAACGGGGAGCAGCCCACAGUCUGAAUCGACUUCAGUGUUAGUGGCACGGUCUGGAACGUCCGACGGUACAGGGUGAUAGUCCCGUACACCAAAAUGCACAGGUUGUGAACUCGAAGAGUAGGGCGGGACACGUGGUAUCCUGUCUGAAUAUGGGGGGACCAUCCUCCAAGGCUAAAUACUCCUGACUGACCGAUAGUGAACCAGUACCGUGAGGGAAAGGCGAAAAGAACCCCGGCGAGGGGAGUGAAAAAGAACCUGAAACCGUGUACGUACAAGCAGUGGGAGCACCUUCGGGUGUGACUGCGUACCUUUUGUAUAAUGGGUCAGCGACUUAUAUUCUGUAGCAAGGUUAACCGUAUAGGGGAGCCGCAGGGAAACCGAGUCUUAACUGGGCGUUAAGUUGCAGGGUAUAGACCCGAAACCCGGUGAUCUAGCCAUGGGCAGGUUGAAGGUUGGGUAACACUAACUGGAGGACCGAACCGACUAAUGUUGAAAAAUUAGCGGAUGACUUGUGGCUGGGGGUGAAAGGCCAAUCAAACCGGGAGAUAGCUGGUUCUCCCCGAAAGCUAUUUAGGUAGCGCCUCGUGAAUUCAUCUUCGGGGGUAGAGCACUGUUUCGGCUAGGGGGUCAUCCCGACUUACCAACCCGAUGCAAACUACGAAUACCGAAGAAUGUUAUCACGGGAGACACACGGCGGGUGCUAACGUCCGUCGUGAAGAGGGAAACAACCCAGACCGCCAGCUAAGGUCCCAAAGUCAUGGUUAAGUGGGAAACGAUGUGGGAAGGCACAGACAGCCAGGAUGUUGGCUUAGAAGCAGCCAUCAUUUAAAGAAAGCGUAAUAGCUCACUGGUCGAGUCGGCCUGCGCGGAAGAUGUAACGGGGCUAAACCAUGCACCGAAGCUGCGGCAGCGACACUAUGUGUUGUUGGGUAGGGGAGCGUUCUGUAAGCCUGCGACGUUGACCUGUGAGGGUUGCGGGAGGUAUCUGAAGUGCGAAUGCUGACAUAAGUAACGAUAUAGCGGGUGAG